rnacentral:lncRNA from 1 species
AUCAAGAAAGAGGUCCCAUCUGGUGAAAUGUCAUUCAUAAGGACUUAGACUUACACUUAUUACAGACCAUAAACUUGAAUCUAGAAAUCCUGACUCUCAGGUGAUAUGUUAGUAUUUCCUCCAAUGGAGUCACAACGUCAUGCUGACCUCAGAGUCUUGGUCAAGUCAGUGACCAUGAAGGCAGCAGAAACUGGCAAUGUGAAGCACUUAAAGCUUAGAUGCCAAGAAGCCAAGGUCAUCCACUGCAACUCAAACCAUCACCAGCCAUCUUGGCAUGUGUCUUGCCACUGGACUUCAGUGUCUGAGGAAGCAAGAGUGAAGCUGACAACUUUGUGAAGCUCUGCCUCAUUUGAAUCCAGUUUAUUCAUGAGUCAAAAGACAUCUUGUUUUGGUCCCUUUCAAGUAUAAGGACAACAACCAUUGUACUAAAGGGUAGGAUGGAGUAGCAGAGCCUACAUGAUUUAGGCAUGUAAUAAAAGAUAUCCUGUAGAGCA